rnacentral:rRNA from 1 species
GAAUUCGCCCUUAGAGUUUGAUCCUGGCUCAGGACGAACGCUGGCGGCGCGCCUAACACAUGCAAGUCGAACGAGCGAGAGAGAGCUUGCUUUCUCGAGCGAGUGGCGAACGGGUGAGUAACGCGUGAGGAACCUGCCUCAAAGAGGGGGACAACAGUUGGAAACGACUGCUAAUACCGCAUAAGCCCACGGCUCGGCAUCGAGCAGAGGGAAAAGGAGCAAUCCGCUUUGAGAUGGCCUCGCGUCCGAUUAGCUAAUUGGUGAGGUAACGGCUCACCAAGGCGACGAUCAGUAGCCGGCUUGAGAGAGUGAACGGCCACAUUGGGACUGAGACACGGCCCAAACUCCUACGGGAGGCAGCAGUGGGGAAUAUUGCACAAUGGGGGAAACCCUGAUGCAGCGACGCCGCGUGAGUGAAGAAGUAUUUCGGUAUGUAAAGCUCUAUCAGCAGGGAAGAAAAUGACGGUACCUGACUAAGAAGCCCCGGCUAACUACGUGCCAGCAGCCGCGGUAAUACGUAGGGGGCAAGCGUUAUCCGGAAUUACUGGGUGUAAAGGGUGCGUAGGUGGUAUGGCAAGUCAGAAGUGAAAACCCAGGGCUUAACUCUGGGACUGCUUUUGAAACUGUCAGACUGGAGUGCAGGAGAGGUAAGCGGAAUUCCUAGUGUAGCGGUGAAAUGCGUAGAUAUUAGGAGGAACAUCAGUGGCGAAGGCGGCUUACUGGACUGAAACUGACACUGAGGCACGAAAGCGUGGGGAGCAAACAGGAUUAGAUACCCUGGUAGUCCACGCCGUAAACGAUG